GACUAACGCUGGCGGCGUGCUUAACACAUGCAAGUUGAACGGGGCACUGCAAGUAGCAAUACGAGCAGUGCUUAGUAGCGGACGGGUGAGUAACGCGUGAGCAACCUACCUUUGUGAGGGGGACAACAGCCGGAAACGGCUGCUAAUACCGCAUGAGGCCACGGUUCCGAUUGGGACUGAGGUAAAAGAUUUAUCGCACAAAGAUGGGCUCGCGUCCCAUUAGCUAGUUGGCGGGGUAACGGCCCACCAAGGCGACGAUGGGUAGCCGACCUGAGAGGGUGAUCGGCCACACUGGAACUGAGACACGGUCCAGACUCCUACGGGAGGCAGCAGUGGGGAAUAUUGGGCAAUGGGCGCAAGCCUGACCCAGCAACGCCGCGUGAGGGAAGAAGGUCUUCGGAUUGUAAACCUCUGUCCUUGGGGACGAAAAAAAUGACGGUACCCAAGGAGGAAGCUCCGGCUAACUACGUGCCAGCCGCCGCUGUAA
rnacentral:rRNA from 1 species